GAUGAACGCUGGCGGCGUGCCUAAUACAUGCAAGUCGAGCGAACAGAUGAGGAGCUUGCUCCUCUGACGUUAGCGGCGGACGGGUGAGUAACACGUGGAUAACCUACCUAUAAGACUGGGAUAACUUCGGGAAACCGGAGCUAAUACCGGAUAAUAUAUUGAACCGCAUGGUUCAAUAGUGAAAGACGGUUUUGCUGUCACUUAUAGAUGGAUCCGCGCCGCAUUAGCUAGUUGGUAAGGUGACGGCUUACCAAGGCAACGAUGCGUAGCCGACCUGAGAGGGUGAUCGGCCACACUGGAACUGAGACACGGUCCAGACUCCUACGGGAGGCAGCAGUAGGGAAUCUUCCGCAAUGGGCGAAAGCCUGACGGAGCAACGCCGCGUGAGUGAUGAAGGUCUUCGGAUCGUAAAACUCUGUUAUUAGGGGAGAACAAAUGUGUAAGUAACUAUGCACGUCUUGACGGUACCUAAUCAGAAAGCCACGGCUAACUACGUG
rnacentral:rRNA from 1 species